rnacentral:rRNA from 1 species
AACGCUGGCGGCGUGCCUAACACAUGCAAGUCGGAUGUGCCCGCAAGGGUGCAUGGCAGACGGGUGAGUAACACGUGGGGAACCUACCUCUUAGUGGGGAAUAACGCUCCGAAAGGAGUGGUAAUACCGCAUGAGACCGAUGGCUGGGAUGCUGUCGGUGAAACCUCGGGACCGCAAGGCCGGGGGCUAGGAGAGGGUCCUGCGUCUGAUUAGCUAGUUGGCGGGGUAACGGCCCACCAAGGCAUCGAUCAGUAGCCGGCCUGAGAGGGUGAUCGGCCACACUGGAACUGAGACACGGUCCAGACUCCUACGGGAGGCAGCAGUGGGGAAUUUUGCGCAAUGGGCGAAAGCCUGACGCAGCAACGCCGCGUGGGUGAUGAAGGUCUUCGGAUUGUAAAACCCUGUCGUCGGGGACGAAGGUGGCUUAGUUAAUAGCUGAGUUGCUUGACGGUACCCGGAGAGGAAGCCCCGGCUAACUCUGUGCCAGCAGCCGCGGUAAUACAGAGGGGGCAAGCGUUAUUCGGAAUUAUUGGGCGUAAAGGGCGCGUAGGCGGCUUUUUAAGUCAGAUGUGUAAUCCCCGAGCUCAACUUGGGAACUGCAUCUGAGACUGGGAGGCUAGAGUGCUGGAGAGGGUGGUGGAAUUCCUCGUGUAGCGGUGAAAUGCGUAGAGAUGAGGAGGAACACCAGUGGCGAAGGCGGCCACCUGGACAGUAACUGACGCUGAGGCGCGAAAGUGUGGGUAGCAAACAGGAUUAGAUACCCUGGUAGUCCACACUGUAAACGAUGAACACUUGGUGUGUCGGGAGUUGACCCCCGACGUGCCGGAGCUAACGCGUUAAGUGUUCCGCCUGGGGAGUACGGUCGCAAGGCUGAAACU